UGGUCUGUAGUUUUCUUUCUUUGAGGUGUCUUUGUCUGGUUUCGGAAUCAGGGUGAUGUUGGCCUCAUAGAAUGAAUUUGGCAGAGCUCCCUCUUUUUCUAUUUCCUGAAAUAGCUUGAAAAGUAUUGGUAUUAAUUCUUCCUUAAAGGUUUUGUAAAACUCCGCUGUAUACCCAUCCGGUCCUGGGCUUUUCUUGGUUGGAAGUCUUUUGAUUGCUUCUUCUAUUUCAUCUAUUGAUAUUGGUCUGUUUAAGUUGUGAGUAUCCUCCUGACUCAGUCUGGGCAAAUCAUAUGACUUAAGAAAUUUAUCGAUGUCUUCACUAUCUUCUAUUUUAUUGGAAUAUAGGUUUUCAAAAUAAUUUCUAAUUGUCUUCUGUAUUUCUGUAGCAUCUGUUGUGAUAUUGCCUUUUUCAUCCCGUAUGUUAGUAAUUUGAGUUCUCUCUCUUCUUCUCUUCGUUAGCAUGGCUAAGGGUCUGUCGAUCUUAUUUAUUUUUUCGAAGAACCAACUUUUAGUUUUGUCAAUUUUUUCAAUAGUUUCUUUUGUUUCCAUUUCGUUGAUUUCCGCUCUGAUUUCAAUUAUUUCUUGCCUUCUGCUACAUUUGCCGUUGUUUUGCUCUUCCUUUUCUAAGGCUUUGAGAUGAAGUGUGAACUCAUUUAUUUGUUGGUUUUUCCUUUUUUUGAGGAAUGACCUCCAGGCGAUGAAUUUCCCUCUUAAAACUGCUUUCAUUGUGUCCCAUAGAUUCCGAUAUGUUGUGUCUGUAUUUUCAUUUAUCUCUAAGAAUUUUUUGAUUUCCUCCUUUAUGUCUUCUGUAACCCAUUGAUCAUUCAGUAACAUAUUGUUCAUUUUCCAUGUGAUGUAGGAUUUUUCCUUCCUUCUUUUAUCAUUGAUUUCCAGUUUCAUUCCAUUAUGAUCAGAUAAAAUGCAUGGUAUUAUCUCCACCCCUUUAUAUUUACUGAGGGUUGCCCUAUGGCAUAAUAUAUGGUCUAUUUUUGAGAAGGAUCCAUGUGCUACUGAGAAAAAAGUAUAUCCAUUGGCAUAAACAAGCUCAUGGCAAAUCUGAUUCUUUGGAUCCUCCUUUUCUGUACCACAAAAUUCACUCUAUCCUCUUUAAGAGCAAGACAGCAGAGAGAAUUAUAUAGAUAAGCAUUUUUGUAUGCAUGUAUUUCCAGUUACUACAAUAAGAAUUGGGUGAAAUCAAAAUACAUUUUUAGCCAUAGGGAGACACUGGAAAACGUUGAUUAAAUCUGAUAUUUUUAAAAAACUAGAAUAAUGGUAGUUGCAUAAUUUGAAGUUUUCAGUUUGUAUUCAGAGGGCUCCCUGCUGUGGCUCUUUUCCCAUUUAGAAGCCACUUAAAUAUCAAUACCUGCAAAAUAACAGCUCCGGAACUAGGCAACAAAAUAAAAUAACCUUUUCCCUUUGUCAUUCAACAACUUUAUUUUCCCCAAGAAUUGCAUUGAUCCCAACAACUAUAGAAUGGUUAUUUUUAUCUUAUGUUAGUUUAUAAAAAAUCAUAUAAUAAAACCCUUUGAAAAUAAAAUUCAAAGGUUGAAAUAUAAAGGAACAUACUUUCUCCAUGGCAAAUAUUCCCUAACACACAUUAUACUAGGGUUGCCAGAGUCACCUCUUUUUUGUAGUGUGAUGCUUACCCUCACACAGACAAGCUGUUGGCACAUAGGGUCAGCUGGAAAUGCAGACAGAGUAGGAAGAGCUCACCUGGCAGGAUCAGAAAGGCAGGAAUGCCCAUGAGCUCCAAAGUGUCCUCUGAGCAGCCCCUGCUAUGGACCCCGAGGCCUGCCUUUGUUCCCCCUUAAUGCAGUUCCAAAAGGGGCCUCUUAAAAUGCAUAUUUAUCCAUUUCUAUUACUCUUCAAGAACUAAUAGAAUUUCUUAUCACAUUCUGGUUAUCAGAUUACAUGAGAGUACUUCUUCUCUCCCCCCUGCAAAACAAAAUAGAGCAACACAGUAUAUUCUAGUGAGAAAAUGGGGGAUAUGAGAACCUGAAAGAUUUGUAUAUUGUACUCCACUUCAGAUGGUGGUUGGGAAAUGUAGGACAGGAAGACCAAACAACAGGGUGAGGACACUAAGUGUCAGUUUGGGGUUUCAUCUCUCCUCUGUGUGAAUUUCCUACAGACUCCAGAAAAGUGUGUGAGGAGAUAGCUCCCCGAGAGGAAAUCAGAGGCCACAAUAAAAUGGACCUGUAGGACAAUUAUUUUUUCCCCCCGUUAAAAAAAUAUUGAGAAUGAACAGUGUCAGGGAGACUGGUGUCCUUAUAAGAAAGCCAUGACAGGCACAGAGACACAGAGGUGCCACACUAAGGGAAAAAAAAAAAAGUCAUGUGACUACAGAGGCAAAGACUGGAGUUCUGUGGCUGUUCUAAGCCCGAAAACACCAAAGAAUGAGACCACCAGAAGCUGACAGAGAUAGGAAGGAUUAUCCCUAGAGACUUCAGAGGAGCAUCGUCCUGCUGAUUCACACUUUGUACUUUCGGAUUUCUAGUCUCCAGAACUAUGAAAAAAUAAAUUUCUGUUGUUUGUUUAUGGUAUUUUGUUACAAUAGCCAGAAGAAGAAGAAGAAGAAGAAGAGGAGGAGGAGAGAAGAAACCCCUGUUUUAGAAUAGUCAUUAUGAGUCUUUUUCUGACAACAAAAUUUCCAGAGAUAUUUAUUAAUAGACACCCAUAGCUUCAAAAUCAGCCCUCACAGGGUAUGCUGGAAUGUCUCAGUUCUCUUCUUGAUUUGGGGGAGUGGUGGGUGUCACCUUUGUCCAUUUCAAUCAACAGCUAUUCAUCUCCUAUGUGAAUAUCACCCUCUAUGUGUGCCAUGGUGCUAGGAGUUUGAGAGAAGCAAAAGGCCUUCAAGACAUGGAUCUGUAUGACGCACAUUCAAGAGUCGGAAAGGAAUAAAACAAUACAGUGUAUGAUCCAAGUAAGAAAAAAGGGAAGGGCUCUGGAGUAGGUGAGAAGCAAAGGGAAGUUGCAGUUAGAAAUAUAACCAAGUAGGAAUAUACAGUGUAAGAUACAGUGCAAUACAUUAUAAGAAAAGAGAGGAGAGAAGUUUAAGAAACGAGAUUACUCACAGACAAACAUUAGGAUAUACAUGACCUAAACUACUUUAUCCAUCUACUUGCUCUAAUUGACAUUUAGAGAAUAUGCCAUCCAACAACAGCAGAAUAAACACUCUUCUUAUGCUCACAUGGGAGCAUUUACCAAAAUAGACUGCAUUCUACACCAGAAAUCUCAUCUUAACAAAUUUAAAAGAAUAAUAAACAUACAAAGCAUAUUAUCAAGCCACAUCGGCAUUAAAUUAGAAACAAAAAGCUCAAAAAUCCAAAAAUAUUUGGAGAUUAAACAACAUACUUCUAAAUAAUGUAAGGAUCAAAAAGCAAAUCUCAGGAGGAAUUUUUUAAAUAUUUGGAAAUAAGUAAAAAUACAACUUACCAGAAUUUUGUGUGAUGUUUGGGGGAAAUUUGUAGCACUGAAUACAUAUAUCAGGAAAUAAAAAAAAUCAAAAAUAAAUGGCCUGAGUUUCUCCUAAGGAGGUUAAGGAAAGAAGAGCUAUUUAAGCCAACAACAAAAGAAAAGAAAAUUUAAAAAUUAAAAGUAUAUUCCAAUGACAAAGAAAAUAGUACAGAAAAUAAUUGACCCCCAUAUCCUAUUCUCUGAGAAGAUCAAUAAAAUUGAUACAUCUCUAGCCAGGCUAAGAAAAUAAAGAAGACAAAAAUUACUAGUAUCAGAAAUUAAAGAAGAGUCAUCAUUACUGAUCCAUGGACUUUAAAAAGGUAAUAAGUUUUUUGGGGAUUGGCUAACUUCAUUUAGCAUCAUAUUCUCCAACUCCAUCCAUUUACCUGCAAAUGCCAUGGUUUUAUUCUCUUUAUUGCUAAGUAAUAUUCCAUUGUGUAUAUACCACAUUUUCUCUAGGGCAAUGGGGUGGGAGGGGAAAAGAGGGGA
rnacentral:lncRNA from 1 species